rnacentral:rRNA from 1 species
UGGGGGAAUAUUGCACAAUGGGCGAAAGCCUGAUGCAGCAACGUCGCGUGAGUGAUGAAGGUCUUCGGAUUGUAAAGCUCUGUCUUUUGGGACGAUAAUGACGGUACCAAAGGAGGAAGCCACGGCUAACUACGUGCCAGCAGCCGCGGUAAUACGUAGGUGGCGAGCGUUGUCCGGAUUUACUGGGCGUAAAGGGUGCGUAGGCGGAUGUUUAAGUGAGAUGUGAAAUACCCGGGCUUAACUUGGGUGCUGCAUUUCAAACUGGAUAUCUAGAGUGCAGGAGAGGAGAAUGGAAUUCCUAGUGUAGCGGUGAAAUGCGUAGAGAUUAGGAAGAACACCAGUGGCGAAGGCGAUUCUCUGGACUGUAACUGACGCUGAGGCACGAAAGCGUGGGUAGCAAACAGGAUUAGAUACCCUGGUAGUCCACGCCGUAAACGAUGAGUACUAGGUGUAGGAGGUAUCGACCCCUUCUGUGCCGCAGUAAACACAUUAAGUACUCCGCCUGGGAAGUA